rnacentral:rRNA from 1 species
AAGCGAGAAACGGUCUCUUACCGGAGACACUCGUAGUGGCGAACGGGCUGAAGUAACACGUGGGCAAUCUGCCCUGCACACCGGGAUAAGCCUGGGAAACUGGGUCUAAUACCGGAUAGGACCACUUGGCGCAUGCCUUGUGGUGGAAAGCUUUUGCGGUGUGGGAUGGGCCCGCGGCCUAUCAGCUUGUUGGUGGGGUGACGGCCUACCAAGGCGACGACGGGUAGCCGGCCUGAGAGGGUGUCCGGCCACACUGGGACUGAGAUACGGCCCAGACUCCUACGGGAGGCAGCAGUGGGGAAUAUUGCACAAUGGGCGCAAGCCUGAUGCAGCGACGCCGCGUGGGGGAUGACGGCCUUCGGGUUGUAAACCUCUUUCACCAUCGACGAAGGUCCGGGUUCUCUCGGAUUGACGGUAGGUGGAGAAGAAGCACCGGCCAACUACGUGCCAGCAGCCGCGGUAAUACGUAGGGUGCGAGCGUUGUCCGGAAUUACUGGGCGUAAAGAGCUCGUAGGUGGUUUGUCGCGUUGUUCGUGAAAUCUCACGGCUUAACUGUGAGCGUGCGGGCGAUACGGGCAGACUAGAGUACUGCAGGGGAGACUGGAAUUCCUGGUGUAGCGGUGGAAUGCGCAGAUAUCAGGAGGAACACCGGUGGCGAAGGCGGGUCUCUGGGCAGUAACUGACGCUGAGGAGCGAAAGCGUGGGGAGCGAACAGGAUUAGAUACCCUGGUAGUCCACGCCGUAAACGGUGGGUACUAGGUGUGGGUUUCCUUCCUUGGGAUCC